UCGGGUCGGCAUGGCAUCUCCACCUCCUCGCGGUCCGACCUGGGCAUCCGUAGGAGGACRRACGUCCUACCUCGGAUGGCUAAGGGAGAGCCAGU
rnacentral:ribozyme from 1 species